rnacentral:rRNA from 1 species
UACGUAGGGAGCAAGCGUUGUUCGGAUUUACUGGGCGUAAAGGGCGCGUAGGCGGUCGUGACAAGUCACUUGUGAAAUCUCCGGGCUUAACUCGGAACGGUCAAGUGAUACUGUCGUGCUAGAGUACAGAAGGGGCAACUGGAAUUCUCGGUGUAGCGGUGAAAUGCGUAGAUAUCGAGAGGAACACCCGUGGCGAAGGCGGCUCUCUGGUACGUGACUGACGCUGAGACGCGAAAGCGUGGGGAGCAAACAGG